rnacentral:rRNA from 1 species
UGGGCGAAAGCCUGAUCCAGCAAUGCCGCGUGAGUGAUGAAGGCCUUAGGGUUGUAAAGCUCUUUUACCAGGGAUGAUAAUGACAGUACCUGGAGAAUAAGCUCCGGCUAACUCCGUGCCAGCAGCCGCGGUAAUACGGAGGGAGCUAGCGUUGUUCGGAAUUACUGGGCGUAAAGAGAACGUAGGCGGCUUUUCAAGUCAGGGGUGAAAUCCCGGGGCUCAACCCCGGAACUGCCCUUGAAACUGGAUGGCUAGAAUCCUGGAGAGGUUAGUGGAAUUCCGAGUGUAGAGGUGAAAUUCGUAGAUAUUCGGAAGAACACCAGUGGCGAAGGCGACUGACUGGACAGGUAUUGACGCUGAGGUUCGAAAGCGUGGGGAGCAAACAGGAUUAGAUACCCUGGUAGUCCACGCCGUAAACGAUGAUAACUAGUUGUUCGGGCUCAUAGAGCUUGAGUGACGCAGCUAACGCAU